rnacentral:rRNA from 1 species
GAUGAACGCUAGCUACAGGCUUAACACAUGCAAGUCGAGGGGAAACGGCAUCGAAAGCUUGCUUUUGAUGGGCGUCGACCGGCGCACGGGUGAGUAACGCGUAUCCAACCUGACCAUCACUUGGGAAUAACCUUGCGAAAGUAAGACUAAUGCCCAAUGACAUCCCACGAAGGCAUCCGAAUGGGAUUAAAGAUUUAUCGGUGAUGGAUGGGGAUGCGUCUGAUUAGCUUGUUGGCGGGGUGACGGCCCACCAAGGCAACGAUCAGUAGGGGUUCUGAGAGGAAGGUCCCCCACAUUGGAACUGAGACACGGUCCAAACUCCUACGGGAGGCAGCAGUGAGGAAUAUUGGUCAAUGGGCGAGAGCCUGAACCAGCCAAGUAGCGUGCAGGAUGACGGCCCUAUGGGUUGUAAACUGCUUUUAUAAGGGAAUAAAGUGGGUCACGUGUGACUUUUUGCAUGUACCUUAUGAAUAAGGACCGGCUAAUUCCGUG